rnacentral:lncRNA from 1 species
AGUUUCUUAAGUUAAUAAAACUUUUAUAUCUGUUGAAGUCUAAUGUAUGAAAUAUAUUUUAUUUUAAAAUACUUUAUUUGAUUAUACGCCUUAAUUGUAAGUAUAGCACUCAUUAUACUUACAAUUAAGAAUAUUUUGAGCAAUUAAUUAACCGACAAUGAGUUGGAAUUUAUUUAGGAAAAAAAAAUUUAUUUUUAAGAUAUAACAUAUAUAACAUUAAGUUAAAGACCAUUUUAUUAUGUAAUUUUAAAUAUUUCGGUUGUAGUAUAACAGUUCUUGGUUUAUAUAUGUAUGUGUGAUGACAGUUAAUUAGGUGUUAUCGUUCGUGCCCCGAGUCUUGAACAGACAAAUCUUGCCAUUACUUAGAUUCAAUUAUUUUUUAAACACAUUUGCGCAACAAAUACUACGAGUAAUUUUUUGUGAAGACUAAUUAAUCUGCUUGAUAUUUAUAGACGUAGGAUAUAAUAGAUCUCGCGUUUGAUUAGAAAGAAAAAUAAAUUAAUAAAAAAAAUAAAAUUAAUGAAAACAUGAAAAAUAAAUGUAAACCACAGUGUUUUAUUUCAAUAAAGUAUAUGUAUGUUAAAAAAGAAAGAAGAAAGUACAAAUUGAAAUGCUAAAUAAUAAGAACUAUAAAGUAAUGCUUCUUAACAUUCAUACAAGCAAUAAUAUAAUAAUUUUUUUUAAUUUACAAAUAUCAUGCACUUUUAAUUUACCAAAUUAAAUGUAAUUUGUCGUGUUUCGAAUUGAGAGGACGUAGCGUAAUGCACGAAAACUCGGUAACGUAAAUAAUUCUACAGAAAAUCUCACCGUAUAAUAUAACCAUCAUAUUUAACUUGAAAUACAAAAAGAAUAUUUGGCAAGAAUUUAAUAAAUUAUUAAAUAAUUCGAAAUGUAAUAGCUUAUUCUUGCCCAGCUUACUCUUCUAAUCAUUAAUAAUAUUUUGUUAAUAUAAUUUUUUACAAAUAAACAUUAUAUAAUUAUAAACGCGACUAAUAACCAGUUGUGUUAAAAAAUGUUAAAUUUCGAAACGUUUUGACUAUAACAACAGUUAUAGUCAAACUAACAGUUAAAAAUGAUGACCAUUGAACAACCAUAAAACAGCGCAUGUCGUAUCAAAUGUGUCAUAAUAAAUAAAAACGUGAACCAACAAACAAUACAAUUAAAUAAAUAAUAAAAUAAAAAAUAAUGAAAUUUUUUUGCAAGUCGGUUUUCAUAUUAAAAUAAAUCUAAAAGAUCAAAAACGUUGGAAUACGUGUUAUGAAUAGCAUAAACUGAUAUGCGUACUGUAAAAAACUGUAAAUUUAUAUAUGUUGUUCCCAGAUCUUAAAACACAAUAUUAAAACGGGCAACAAUACACAGAGUAUUCGACAAAGCGUUAAAGACCAGUGUAACGUUCGGUAAUCAGAGGCAGAAACACUGGUCUUUAUUUAAUUUAAAUAAAUACCUUUAACUUAAAUUACAAAUAUUUUGGUAACGAAACUUGCUCAAGUAUCUAUAUCCUUUUGUUUCACAGUGAUAGACUGAUAUGUGCUCGGUAUUUUUUUUUUUUUAAGUGAAUUAAAAUUUGUAUAGUCUUUCAGAAGAAAUCUUCCCUCCCACGAGUACGACCUUGACGUGGUGGGAGGGCUUAGUACCCCGAGGGCUUGAAAGCCUACACGGAGAGAAUUUUCUCUUAAAAUUUAUCCUGAAAAUCUGAUAUUUGUGAGAUAAUUGUGUGACCUCCAGGGAUUUUACUAUAUUGUUUAGUAAAAUUUAUUAAAAGCAUAAUAAAUUUUACUAAAAAGUCUAGUAAAAUUCCUCGAGGUCAUACAUUAUCCCACAAUUAUCAGAUUUUGAGGGUAAAUUUUAAGAAAUAAUUAUCUCCGUGUAUGGGGGAAGCAAACUGUACUCAUUGCACUUAUUACGUCGUCGAUUUUGUCGCGCCGCGUUUUCGGGAGUGCCGACCGGUUAAUUGAAAACGAAUCGCAGCCGGUUCGUCGCGUCGCGCGUUUGCUUCGGGAGUGCCGUUCGUAACUGUACUAAAGUAAUCAUAAUAAAAGUUUUUCUCAUAAUUCUUAUUCGAUUGAGUCUUAGUUUGAUGCCGGAAGUCGCACUUUCGACGUUAGCAAUCACGGCCGCGAGUGUCUCGUGCAACAAGAGGAAGAGAAAAAGAUGGAGGCCUGGGAAAGGUAUCAGACCUCGGCACAUCAACCUUCGGUAUCAUCAUAGCAAGUGUCUUGUGCAAAGAGAGGAGGAGGAGGUCUAGAAAAGGCAUCGGGCCCCGGCAGAGCAACCUUGGGAAUCAUCGUAGCGACGUUGCUGAAUAACUCUGCUGCUGCGCAUCGGUCGGUGAGUGAUGAAUAAACUUUUAAAAUUGGGGUAAUAGAUCUGUGACAAAAUUAUACUUCAAACAUAGUGUAGAAUUGUUUGUUAUAAUGAUGCAAUAAUAAAUUACAUACAGAUAUUAUAUUUAUUUCAUGGAUCUAUUGCCUCAAAAUGAAUAGACUAGAACAAAUUAGGACUUAAUAUUUAAUAUUGGAUAAAUUAUACGAAUUAACUUAUUAUCCAAUAUCAUGCAUAUUGGAGACGCUGUUUCGUCUCCGAUAAACUUUUCUAAUUAAUUUUGUUAAAUAACAAAAAUAAAAUAAAAUAAAUUCCGAUUAACUAAAUUUAAUCAUGAACUUAAAAUGUUUUAAACUUUUUUUAAAUUUUAUUUUUUCCAUGGAAUAAUCACAGUUGCAAUGAUUAAUCAUACGGUUAGGCAGGUAAUAAGGAUAAGUAGGAAUAGGUAGAAAAUAUAUAAUAGGUAGGGAAUAGAGAGGUCAGGAACGGAUAGGUAGGGAAUAGAUAGAAAACGGAUCGGUAAGGUAUUCAAUGUAUGAAAA